rnacentral:lncRNA from 1 species
GAUACGAUUGAUAAUUGGCGUCAUAACAACCAGCCGCUGACGUCCGGGGGUUCCCCAAAACGAAAAAGCCCUCUGCGAAUCUGUUCACCUAAAUUUUAGUGAAUCGUUCAGAUUCGUCUAAUCGACAGAGACCGGCAGAUAAAAUAACCUGGAUCAAGCAACCUAACAUUCUCUGCAUAACAGUACCCUGAUGAAAAUGUGAUAUUAGGUCGUCCGGCGACUAACAUACUCUUAGCUGGUGAUGAAUGUGAGCCAGAUGCUCGUGCACAGCUUGCCGACCAGAAAAGGCUUCGAGAAAGUGCUGCCACAGGACGAUAUUUUGAGCACAUAGUUGCGCUAUAUCUGCGUCUUCUGUGCUCAUCAUCUAAAAAAAGUUCCAAUGGAAGGAAGUAGACGAGCAAGAUCUGCCAUUUCAACAAGCAGAGAUUCUCGAGCGGUCAGCAGAAGCCGGACUACUUCCUGU